rnacentral:rRNA from 1 species
CCUACGGGUGGCAGCAGUGGGGAAUAUUGCACAAUGGGGGAAACCCUGAUGCAGCGACGCCGCGUGAGUGAAGAAGUAAUUCGUUAUGUAAAGCUCUAUCAGCCGGGAAGAAAAUGACGGUACCUGAGUAAGAAGCCCCGGCUAACUACGUGCCAGCAGCCGCGGUAAUACGUAGGGGGCAAGCGUUAUCCGGAUGUACUGGGUGUAAAGGGGGCGUAGACGGCAGUGCAAGUCUGGAGUGAAAUGCGGGGGCUCAACCCCCGGACUACUUUGGAAACUGUACGGCUGGAGUGCAGGAGAGUUAAGUGGAAGUCCUAGUGUAGCGGUGAAAUGAGUAGAUAUUAGGAGGAACCCGAGUGGCGAAGGCGGCUUACUGCACUGUAACGGACGUUGAGGCUCGAAAGGUUGGUGAGCAACCAGGAUUAGAUACCCUGUAGUC